GAUGAACGCUGGCGGCGCGCCUAACACGUGCAAGUCGAACGGUUAAAGCACCUUUUAGGUGUGUAUAAAGUGGCGAACGGCUGAGUAACACGUGGGCAACCUGCCCUCCUCUUGGGGAUAGCCUCGGGAAACCGAGGAUAAUACCCGAUACUUCAAUGUGGCCGCAUGACGACAUUGAGAAAGCUUUUGCGGAGAAGGAUGGGCCCGCGGCCUGUUAGCUUGUUGGUGGGGUAGAGGCCUACCAAGGCAAUGAUGGGUAGCUGGGUUGAGAGACCGACCAGCCAGAUUGGGACUGAGACACGGCCCAGACUCCUACGGGAGGCAGCAGUGGGGAAUCUUGCACAAUGGGCGAAAGCCUGAUGCAGCGACGCCGCGGGCGGGACGAAGGCCUUCGGGUUGUAAACCGCUUUCAGCAGGGACGAGGCGAUAAGUGACGGUACCUGCAGAAGAAGCCCCGGCUAACUACGUG
rnacentral:rRNA from 1 species